CUGGGGCCCUUCCCGAGCACUCGAGCCACCUGUGCACAUCUUCUCAGUCCCCACGGCCCCGGUGCAGGCCUGCCAAGAGAAGGAUCCCCGCGGAAACGUCUCGACUGACUCAGUCCCUUUCUGCACACCUGCUCUUCCCUGGGCGCGCUCUCGCCUUACAUAAUUAUUCCUGUGUGAUUCAGGCGCUGCGGAAGGAGAAGGCACCUAGACUGCACUGGGAAGGCUCCUGGAGUUGACCUGGAGCGCCAGGAAAGGUAUAUUUCCACACUGCUCGUAAAUUUUCUGCGCGGUCCCCAGAGCGCCCCCCAUGAGGCACCUGCAUCAGCUCCGGGCAGAGCAGAUGUGGAUGCCACCGCCUAGAAGCCGGGGCUACCCUGCGGACUGGGACUGUCCCAUAAGGAUACUGAGCUAAGGAUAAUGCAGAAUAACCGUUGAAAGUACCCAAGACCAGAGCUUGGAAGCAGAGCGGAAUAUGGAUCAGAGGGAGACAGGAGUCAGGGCCCUGCAGUUGGAGGCAGGUACAGCAAUCAGAUGUGGGGGUGGGUACAAUGACAAUGAGUUUCUAAUGGUGAUGGGGUGGAGGCGCAGAGGAGAAAGCUGUUUAGGAGGCUGAAUCCACAGGGCUUUGUCCCCAUGUCAUCUUGGUCAGAGUCUCGGAAUCUCCUGCCCACACCCCCUUCACUGUCCUCUCUGCACGCCCCUUUUGAAUCCACUGCACAUCACUUGAGGCCCUAGAUCCAGCCUGUACAAUUCUCAGGUUUGUUUUGUGCAAUUCUGGGCUCCCAGCUAGACUGCAAGCUGCCCAGUGCUGGGCUGAUUCUUAUAACAGAAAUCAUUUCUCAAUUUAGGAUGUGGAGAUAGAGCUGUGUUCUCUAAACAACGGGCUUCACAUUCCCAUAAACCUAAACAGCAGAUUUUAGCCAUUCCAAGGGCCUCUGCCCACGAU
rnacentral:lncRNA from 1 species